rnacentral:rRNA from 1 species
CGAAAGCCUGACGGAGCAAUACCGCGUGAGGGAGGAAGGCCUGUGGGUUGUAAACCUCUUUUCUCAAGGAAGAAUACUGACGGUACUUGAGGAAUCAGCAUCGGCUAACUCCGUGCCAGCAGCCGCGGUAAGACGGAGGAUGCAAGCGUUAUCCGGAAUUAUUGGGCGUAAAGCGUCCGCAGGUGGUGAUUCAAGUCUGCUGUCAAAGAGUGGAGCUUAACUUCAUAAAGGCAGUGGAAACUGAAUAACUAGAGUGCGGUAGGGGUAGAGGGAAUUCCAGGUGUAGCGGUGAAAUGCGUAGAUAUCUGGAAGAACACCAGUGGCGAAAGCGCUCUACUGGGCCUGCACUGACACUGAGGGACGAAAGCUAGGGGAGCG